rnacentral:rRNA from 1 species
GGCGAGUGAAGCGGCAAAAGCUCAAAUUUGAAAUCUAGCACCUUCGGUGUUCGAGUUGUAAUUUGAAGAUGGUAACCUUGGGUUUGGCUCUUGUCUAUGUUCCUUGGAACAGGACGUCAUAGAGGGUGAGAAUCCCGUCUGAUGAGAUGCCCAUUCCUAUGUAAGGUGCUAUCGAAGAGUCGAGUUGUUUGGGAAUGCAGCUCUAAGUGGGUGGUAAAUUCCAUCUAAAGCUAAAUAUUGGCGAGAGACCGAUAGCGAACAAGUACAGUGAUGGAAAGAUGAAAAGAACUUUGAAAAGAGAGUGAAAAAGUACGUGAAAUUGUUGAAAGGGAAGGGCAUUAGAUCAGACUUGGUGUUUUACGAUUAUCUUCUCUUCUUGAGUUGUGCACUCGUAUUUCACUGGGCCAGCAUCGAUUCGGAUGGCAAGAUAAUGGCAGUUGAAUGUGGCUUCACUUCGGUGGAGUGUUAUAGCUUCUGCUGAUAUUGCCUGUCUGGAUCGAGGGCUGCGUCUUUUGACUAGGAUGCUGGCGUAAUGAUCUAAUGCCGCCCGU